CCCCAGCACAUUCCUGUUGGAGUAGCACGUGGCCUGUGCAGCUUCGUGUGGGACAAGGGAGGCGACUGUGUCCGUGUUGACUCAGCCCUGCCUUCCAGGAGAAACAGCUACAACGCUCUCCCUGUGUGCUGCAGCCGUCCCAGCCCUUGUGCUGAGACCGAGCUCAUCACUUGCACAAGGAAAACUGGCUGCUCUCUGUGUGGGGAAAGCAGGAGGAUUCGUUUUGUAGCCGCCUGAGCUGUGGUGGAUGAGGAGGUUCUGAGUGCCGCGCAGGACGGGUGAGUGUGUCUGUAGAUGGAGAUGUUUCAAAUUAGCCAGUGUCACACGUUGCCUGUAAAUGUGUCUGUGCGAUCCCUUUCUACAGGCAGGUGCGAGUCACUGGAGUGUAUUUACAUUUAACUGAUCACCUCGCCAAAUCUUUUGCUAUAUCCCCAGACGUUCCACCCCGUAGCUCAGGUGACU